GUGGGGAAUAUUGCGCAAUGGGCGAAAGCCUGACGCAGCGACGCCUCGUGAGGGAUGAAGGUCUUCGGAUCGUAAACCUCUGUCAAGAGGGAAGAAACCCUUGAGUUCGAACAGGGCUCUUGGCUGACGGUACCUCUAAAGGAAGCACCGGCUAACUCCGUGCCAGCAGCCGCGGUAAUACGGAGGGUGCAAGCGUUAAUCGGAAUCACUGGGCGUAAAGCGCUCGUAGGCGGUUUGGUCAGUCAGAUGUGAAAGCCCUCGGCUUAACCGGGGAACUGCAUUUGAUACUGCCAGACUUGAGUGUCGGAGAGGGUGGCGGAAUUCCGGGUGUAGGAGUGAAAUCCGUAGAUAUCCGGAGGAACACCAGUGGCGAAGGCGGCCACCUGGACGACAACUGACGCUGAGGAGCGAAAGCGUGGGGAGCAAACAGGAUUAGAAACCCUAGUAGUCC
rnacentral:rRNA from 1 species